rnacentral:tRNA from 1 species
GCCGCGGUGCCCGAGCGGCCUAAGGGGGAGGGCUGCAGACCCUCUUAUAUCCGGGGUUCGAAUCCCCGCCGCGGCU